CGGCUGCAGUGGCCGCCGCUGGAGACCGCGGGACCUGGCGCUGCAGCGAGAUUUUCAAACACCGCAUUCCCCUUAAACCUCCCAGGCUCCCAUCACUCCCAGCAAAGAGCCAGCCCGCUACUUUAUGGAGACAGGAGAGACUGUCAGACAGUUCCUGCUGCUGUCCAGGUGCAUCCGAGAGAGCAAGCCCUGGAGGUUCACUCUUUCAAGAAGUCGUGUGCUGAGGUGUAAUGCUACACAAGUCAGAGGAAAGAAGGGUCCUGAAACACAUGGCCUGAUUGUUGGCAAAGGCAUCGUAAGAAGCUGGCAUUUAUUUCUGUUCUAACCUAUUACUGUAUAGCUGUGAAUAGACACUAUGCAUAUUUGUUGGUCAGCAAAACCAAGAAACAAGAGCUAUGGCAUUUGAAAAAGUCUGUCUGAUUCCAGGGUGUUUUUCCUGGGUUUCAUCAUCAGGUACCUCCUCCCUUUCAUCUC
rnacentral:sRNA from 1 species